GGGUUGUGAGGUUAAGCGACUAAGCGUACACGGUGGAUGCCCUGGCAGUCAGAGGCGAUGAAGGACGUGCUAAUCUGCGAUAAGCGUCGGUAAGGUGAUAUGAACCGUUAUAACCGGCGAUUUCCGAAUGGGGAAACCCAGUGUGUUUCGACACACUAUCAUUAACUGAAUCCAUAGGUUAAUGAGGCGAACCGGGGGAACUGAAACAUCUAAGUACCCCGAGGAAAAGAAAUCAACCGAGAUUCCCCCAGUAGCGGCGAGCGAACGGGGAGCAGCCCAGAGCCUGAAUCAGUGUGUGUGUUAGUGGAAGCGUCUGGAAAGGCGCGCGAUACAGGGUGACAGCCCCGUACACAAAAAUGCACAUAUUGUGAGCUCGAUGAGUAGGGCGGGACACGUGGUAUCCUGUCUGAAUAUGGGGGGACCAUCCUCCAAGGCUAAAUACUCCUGACUGACCGAUAGUGAACCAGUACCGUGAGGGAAAGGCGAAAAGAACCCCGGCGAGGGGAGUGAAAAAGAACCUGAAACCGUGUACGUACAAGCAGUGGGAGCCUCUUUUAUGGGGUGACUGCGUACCUUUUGUAUAAUGGGUCAGCGACUUAUAUUCUGUAGCAAGGUUAACCGAAUAGGGGAGCCGAAGGGAAACCGAGUCUUAACUGGGCGUUAAGUUGCAGGGUAUAGACCCGAAACCCGGUGAUCUAGCCAUGGGCAGGUUGAAGGUUGGGUAACACUAACUGGAGGACCGAACCGACUAAUGUUGAAAAAUUAGCGGAUGACUUGUGGCUGGGGGUGAAAGGCCAAUCAAACCGGGAGAUAGCUGGUUCUCCCCGAAAGCUAUUUAGGUAGCGCCUCGUGAAUUCAUCUCCGGGGGUAGAGCACUGUUUCGGCAAGGGGGUCAUCCCGACUUACCAACCCGAUGCAAACUGCGAAUACCGGAGAAUGUUAUCACGGGAGACACACGGCGGGUGCUAACGUCCGUCGUGAAGAGGGAAACAACCCAGACCGCCAGCUAAGGUCCCAAAGUCAUGGUUAAGUGGGAAACGAUGUGGGAAGGCCCAGACAGCCAGGAUGUUGGCUUAGAAGCAGCCAUCAUUUAAAGAAAGCGUAAUAGCUCACUGGUCGAGUCGGCCUGCGCGGAAGAUGUAACGGGGCUAAACCAUGCACCGAAGCUGCGGCAGCGACGCUGAUGCGUUGUUGGGUAGGGGAGCGUUCUGUAAGCCUGUGAAGGUGUGCUGUGAGGCAUGCUGGAGGUAUCAGAAGUGCGAAUGCUGACAUAAGUAACGAUAAAGCGGGUGAAAAGCCCGCUCGCCGGAAGACCAAGGGUUCCUGUCCAACGUUAAUCGGGGCAGGGUGAGUCGACCCCUAAGGCGAGGCCGAAAGGCGUAGUCGAUGGGAAACAGGUUAAUAUUCCUGUACUUGGUGUUACUGCGAAGGGGGGACGGAGAAGGCUAUGUUGGCCGGGCGACGGUUGUCCCGGUUUAAGCGUGUAGGCUGGUUUUCCAGGCAAAUCCGGAAAAUCAAGGCUGAGGCGUGAUGACGAGGCACUACGGUGCUGAAGCAACAAAUGCCCUGCUUCCAGGAAAAGCCUCUAAGCAUCAGGUAACAUCAAAUCGUACCCCAAACCGACACAGGUGGUCAGGUAGAGAAUACCAAGGCGCUUGAGAGAACUCGGGUGAAGGAACUAGGCAAAAUGGUGCCGUAACUUCGGGAGAAGGCACGCUGAUAUGUAGGUGAAGUCCCUCGCGGAUGGAGCUGAAAUCAGUCGAAGAUACCAGCUGGCUGCAACUGUUUAUUAAAAACACAGCACUGUGCAAACACGAAAGUGGACGUAUACGGUGUGACGCCUGCCCGGUGCCGGAAGGUUAAUUGAUGGGGUCAGCGCAAGCGAAGCUCUUGAUCGAAGCCCCGGUAAACGGCGGCCGUAACUAUAACGGUCCUAAGGUAGCGAAAUUCCUUGUCGGGUAAGUUCCGACCUGCACGAAUGGCGUAAUGAUGGCCAGGCUGUCUCCACCCGAGACUCAGUGAAAUUGAACUCGCUGUGAAGAUGCAGUGUACCCGCGGCAAGACGGAAAGACCCCGUGAACCUUUACUAUAGCUUGACACUGAACAUUGAGCCUUGAUGUGUAGGAUAGGUGGGAGGCUUAGAAGUGUGGACGCCAGUCUGCAUGGAGCCGACCUUGAAAUACCACCCUUUAAUGUUUGAUGUUCUAACGUUGACCCGUAAUCCGGGUUGCGGACAGUGUCUGGUGGGUAGUUUGACUGGGGCGGUCUCCUCCUAAAGAGUAACGGAGGAGCACGAAGGUUGGCUAAUCCUGGUCGGACAUCAGGAGGUUAGUGCAAUGGCAUAAGCCAGCUUGACUGCGAGCGUGACGGCGCGAGCAGGUGCGAAAGCAGGUCAUAGUGAUCCGGUGGUUCUGAAUGGAAGGGCCAUCGCUCAACGGAUAAAAGGUACUCCGGGGAUAACAGGCUGAUACCGCCCAAGAGUUCAUAUCGACGGCGGUGUUUGGCACCUCGAUGUCGGCUCAUCACAUCCUGGGGCUGAAGUAGGUCCCAAGGGUAUGGCUGUUCGCCAUUUAAAGUGGUACGCGAGCUGGGUUUAGAACGUCGUGAGACAGUUCGGUCCCUAUCUGCCGUGGGCGCUGGAGAACUGAGGGGGGCUGCUCCUAGUACGAGAGGACCGGAGUGGACGCAUCACUGGUGUUCGGGUUGUCAUGCCAAUGGCACUGCCCGGUAGCUAAAUGCGGAAGAGAUAAGUGCUGAAAGCAUCUAAGCACGAAACUUGCCCCGAGAUGAGUUCUCCCUGACUCCUUGAGAGUCCUGAAGGAACGUUGAAGACGACGACGUUGAUAGGCCGGGUGUGUAAGCGCAGCGAUGCGUUGAGCUAACCGGUACUAAUGAACCGUGAGGCUUAACCUUACAACGCCGAAGGUGUUU
rnacentral:rRNA from 1 species